AACCUGCCCAAGAGAUCGGGAUAACGCCUGGAAACAGAUGCUAAUACCGGAUAACAACAGAUGAUGCCUAUCAACUGUUUAAAAGAUGGUUCUGCUAUCACUCUUGGAUGGACCUGCGGUGCAUUAGCUAGUUGGUAGGGUAACGGCCUACCAAGGCGAUGAUGCAUAGCCGAGUUGAGAGACUGAUCGGCCACAUUGGGACUGAGACACGGCCCAAACUCCUACGGGAGGCAGCAGUU
rnacentral:rRNA from 1 species